AUCACGUCUGAGUUAGAAUAAAUCCUGUUGAGUUCAUACAGGGGGGGCACGUGGCAAACUACUUGUCUCCCACCAUGCCCUCCAUCUGGAGCCGUCCCUGCAGACAGAUCUAUGGGUUAUUGGGUUUUUCAUGGGGGGUGGGAGAGCUGCAGGCUUGACAUUCCCCAGACCCAGCCUGCUAAAGAGUGAGUCGCAGGUUGGCACCCGUAUGGGGUGGGGCUGACCAGAUAAGGGACUACGAUGCACUCCCCACCCCCACGAGCUAGCGUCUUUCAUUAAGUACUUUACUGUUUCACUCUCACUUUCAGAAAUAUUAAAAUAUACUGUGGGGGUGAGUGGGAGAAGCUAGUCGAUCUCCCAUCCCCUCAACAAACCCGUGGGAUUCUGGCACGUGUGCGGGAUUCCGAUGGGGAAAAUGGCGCAGCUGGAGGGUGAGGCGGUAAGCAACCCUCUCCCCCGCCUCGCAUAAUGGAGCAAGCCCCGAGGCACGGUGAUAGUGGUGUUUGUUUGUUUGUUAAGGUCAAGUCAAAUACAAGUGAAAAGAAGGUAAAGAACAAGCAAUGCAGAUGUGCUUUCGAAAGAUAACAUCUGGGAAAAGAAAGCAAUCUACCACAAGAGCUGAUCUUAAGAGUCCUGAGAGAAAGCCAACAAGCCGUAGUAAAGUCAGGGCUCCCUGACUCACUCUUCCGGGUUUUACAUGAUCACAACAUGAAGUGGAGGAAUAAUCUACAGCCUACUUUAACUUAUUUACUAAACACUUUGCAGAUGAAAUAGUAUCUAAUCUGACACGAACAUCACACUGGAAGAGUAGUCCAUAUCAGAAGUACCUUGGUCUACGCCUGUCACAAUUGCUUAUAUGAGUUUUAGUUACUGACAACUGAGAAAGCUGACAAACUACAUGGAGGAAUCAGGCCCACAAAAUGCAUGCUUUUGACCCACAUCCUUCCUGGUUUAUUAAGGCCAGCUGAGAGUGCUGAUCACUCCGAUUAUAAAUGGUUAGCAGUUUUCUGUAUUAUCUA